rnacentral:rRNA from 1 species
GGAAGGAGAAGUCGUAACAAGGGUUCCAUAGGUGAACCUGCGGAAGGAUCAUUG